GGUAGAUCGAUGUCUUGUAUGAUGUCAUAAUUGACGCCUAUCGACUGGGUGCGGACUCAGAGCAUUGUCAUUAGGACAGAAUCCCUGGUAGGGGCCCAAUCGCAAUACCAUUAAAACGCAAUUGUCCUAAAUUAAAAUGGGAAAUCCAAAGCUGCAGUAGCCAAAUAGGCCUGUCUAGCAGACAACAAUCUGAAUUGGAUGCCUCCCUGAAGAUAAGCCAUUUUACUGCAGAACAUGAUGAUGUCUUUAUCGGCGUGACGAUAAACAAUAGGCUUUUCACAGCCAGGGGACGCAGACUAAUUCAAGUCUUGAAGAAACAUCAGGAAGAUGUGCAGUGCUGCAAAUCCCACAGGGACCAGAGGGAUGGGCCUUUAAAGGGGCUCUGCAAGUGAACAUGAAAACAAGGAUAUGGCCCAGGCAAAACAAAGAUCUCCUGGUCCAGCCUGAUAUCUCCCUGACUCAAUGGGAGGGGUCUCCAGGGGCCACCUGGAGCCUGAGGUGUUCAGGGGCUACAGCUUCACCCUCACUUAUUCCACUCAGCCACAGUACCCAGGAGGCUCUUUCCACUUCACGUUCACCAGCUCCAACAGAACCCAGACAGCUGUAAAUCACUCUGCUGCCUUCCUCUUCCCUGCUGUAGAUGACUCCCACCAAAGGAAUUACAGCUGUGUUUAUGAGAAUUAUGUUUUCUCUCAUAACUUCUACUCUGAGAGUGAGUUCCUCUCCCUCACAGCCUCUCCUCUGCCCACCUUCAUCAUCAGACAUGUUGUAGUGCUGCUGAUCCUACUGACAGCCAUCACUGCCUUCUACCUGUACUUCAAGAAUACACUCUGAGAACAGAGAAGCCAACAGCCAAACAUUCAGAGUAGAAGAUGGAGUGAAGUACACCAGAGAUGGAGAGGAAAGAAGGAGUGAGAGAAGGACUUAAAAGGAGAGAGCCAGGAUAGAGAGAGUGAGAAGAAGAAGAGAGGAUGAGGGUAUGUUAAGAGUGAAGGGGAAGGAGAGGUUAGAGAGGAUGAGGGCAUGUUAAGAGUGAAGGGGAGGUUAGAGAGGCUGAGGGAAGGAGAGGUUAGAGAGGAUGAGGUGAUGUGAAGAGGAAGGAGAGGUUAGAGAGGAUGAGGGGAUGUGAAGGGGAAGGAGAGGUUAGAGAGGAUGAGGGGAUGUUAAGGGGAAGGAGAGGUUAGAGAGGAUAAGGUGAUGUGAAGAGGAAGGAGAGGUUAGAGAGGAUGAGGGGAUGUUAAGAGUGAAGGGGAGGUUAGAGAGGCUGAGAGCAUGUUAAGGGGGAGGAGAGGUUAGAGAGGAUGAGGGGAUGUGAAGGGGAAGGAGAGGUUAGAGAGGAUGAGGGGAUGCUAAGGGGAAGGAGAGGUUAGAGAGGAUGAUGGGAUGUGAAGGGGAAGGAGAUGUUAGAGAGGAUGAGGGGAUGUGAAGGGGAAGGAGAGGUUAGAGAGGAUGAGGGGAUGUGAAGGGGAAGGAGAGGUUAGAGAGGAUGA
rnacentral:lncRNA from 8 species